rnacentral:rRNA from 1 species
CGCAUCUGUGCAUGCAGCAUAUCAAUAAGCGGAGGAAAAGAGGGCUAUUACCUACGCUUAGGAUGUUGAAGAUGUAGCACAUCAUACACGCAUGACACACUGCAUAUCAAUAAGCGGAGGAAAAGCAUUUACCUACGCUUAGGAUGUUGACGCGCGUGUGUGCGUGAGUCUAUACAUGGCUCUGUGCAUAUCAAUAAGCGGAGGAAAAGAAACUAACAAGGAUUCCCUUAGUAACGGCGAGUGAAGCGGGAAGAGCUCAAAUUUGAAAUCUUCAAGGUUUUACCUUGACGAAUUGUAGUUUAAAGAAGUGUUUUCUGUUGAAGUUUUGGUAAAAGUUCUUUGGAAUAGGACAUCAUAGAGGGUGAGAAUCCCGUAUUUGACCAUUAUUUUCAGCUGUGUGAUACACUUUCAAAGAGUCGGAUUGUUUGGGAAUGCAGUCCAAAAUGGGUGGUAAAUUUCAUCUAAAGCUAAAUAUUGGCGAGAGACCGAUAGCGAACAAGUACUGUGAGGGAAAGAUGAAAAGAACUUUGAAAAGAGAGUUAAACAGUACGUGAAAUUGUCAAAAGGGAAGCGUUUGACACCAGUGUUGUUUUCUCGAAAAUCAAUUAAAAAGAGUUUGAUUUUGUUGUGUAUUGACCUUAACAGCUUGCAUUUCAAUUUUCUUGCUUUUUUUAAUGCACUUUUCGUUUAACAAGUCAACAUCAGUUUCUUUUGUUGUAAAAAGGUCAUUGGAAGGUGGCUUUCUUUUCGGAGAAAGUGUUUAUAGCCUUUGACUCCUGCAAUCGGAGAGACUGAGGUCUGCAGCGUAGAUCCUUCGGGGUUAGAUACAUUUGUGCUAAGUUAUAGCUUUUUAUAGACAACUUGUUGACUAUGAUUAGUCUUGUAGCUUACCUCGCUUAUGCUAUUUUACCUACGCUUAGGAUGUUGACGCGCGUGUGUGCGUG